GAUAGGAACUUGGGUUUGGUAUCAGUCUGCGUCCUCGAGUUACCUGAACUUCCUGACUGCAAGAAGCCAGCGAGCCACCAAGAUGAUCCUUCCCAGUGACUGCAAGAAAAUGAAGAACAGAGCAUCGCGCACCACAGCAACCAGGUAUGUUGUCCCUCUGUCUCUCUCUCUCUCUCAUCUCCAUCUGCUCCUCUCACUGCUGCCAUCCAUCUGCUCCUGUCACUGCUGCGAUCAAUCUGCUCUACUUCUUUCUUUUUUUUUUUUUUUUUUU
rnacentral:misc_RNA from 1 species